rnacentral:rRNA from 1 species
UACGGAGGAGGCAAGCGUUAUCCGGAAUUAUUGGGCGUAAAGAGAUGCGUAGGCGGCUCAUCAAGCGAAGUGUGAAAUCUUGUGGCUCAACCACAAGGCUAUGCUUUGAACUGAUGAACUAGAGCAUGAUAGAGGUAACUGGAAUUCCUUGUGUAGGAGUGAAAUCCGUAGAUAUAAGGAGGAACACCAAUGGCGAAGGCAGGUUACUGGAUCAUUGCUGACGCUAAGGCUCGAAAGCGUGGGGAGCGAA